UGUUCUAUGGUGUAAUGGUAAACCGUCAGAUUCUGGUCCUGAAAUUCAAGGUUCGAAUCCUUGUAGAACAA
rnacentral:tRNA from 1 species